GACGAACGCUGGCGGCGUGCUUAACACAUGCAAGUCAAACGGUAAGGCCCUUCGGGGUACACGAGUGGCGAACGGGUGAGUAACACGUGGGUGAUCUGCCCUGCACUUCGGGAUAAGCCUGGGAAACUGGGUCUAAUACCGGAUAGGACUCCGGACUGCAUGGUCUGGGGUGGAAAGCUUUUGCGGUGUGGGAUGGGCCCGCGGCCUAUCAGCUUGUUGGUGGGGUGAUGGCCUACCAAGGCGACGACGGGUAGCCGGCCUGAGAGGGUGACCGGCCACACUGGGACUGAGAUACUGCCCGGACUCCUACGGGUGGCAGCAGUGGGGAAUAUUGCACAAUGGGCGCAAGCCUGAUGCAGCGACGCCGCGUGAGGGAUGACGGCCUUCGGGUUGUAAACCUCUUUCAGCAUCGACGAAGCGAAAGUGACGGUAGGUGCAGAAGAAGGACCGGCCGACUACGUGCCAGCCGCCGCAGUAA
rnacentral:rRNA from 1 species